rnacentral:rRNA from 1 species
AUUGAACGCUGGCGGCAGGCCUAACACAUGCAAGUCGAACGAGUGGCGGACGGGUGAGUAAUGUCUGGGAAACUGCCCGAUGGAGGGGGAUAACUACGGGAAACGGUAGAUAAUACCGCAUACCAUCGGAUGUGCCCAGAUGGGAUUAGCUGGUGGGUGGGGUAACGGCUAACCUAGGCGACGAUCCCUAGCUGGUCUGAGAGGAGGACAAUCCACACUGGAACUGGGACGCGGUCCAGACUCCUACUGGAGGCAGCAGUGGGGAAUAUUGCACAAUGGGCGCAAGCCUAAUGCAGCCAUGCCGCGUGUAUGAAGAAGGCCUUCGGGUUGUAAAGUACUUUCAGCGAGGAGGCGGUACCCGCAGAAGAAGCACCGGCUAACUCCGUGCCAGCAGCCGCGGUAAUUC